AUCACUUCUCAGCCUUUUGGCUAAGAUCAAGUGUAGAAUCUGCUCUUUUCAGUUAUAGUGAUUCAUCAAUCUUACAUAACACCCAGU
rnacentral:snRNA from 1 species